CGGGGGGUCCAAGCGUUGUCCGGAUUUACUGGGCGUAAAGGGCGCGUAGGCGGGACGAUCAGUCGGGGGUGAAAUGUGCGGGCUUAACCUGCAUACUGCCUUCGAUACUGUCGUUCUUGAGUGAAGAAGGGGAGAGUGGAAUACCUGGUGUAGCGGUGGAAUGCGCAGAUAUCAGGUAGAACACCGGUGGCGAAGGCGGCUCUCUGGUCUUACACUGACGCUGAGGCGCGAAAGCGUGGGUAGCAAACAGGAUUAGAUACCCUGGUAGUCCACGCCGUAAACGAUGUAUACUAGAUGUCGGGGGAAUCGACCCCUCCGGUGUCGCAGCUAACGCAUUAAGUAUACCGCCUGGGGAGUACGAUCGCAAGGUUG
rnacentral:rRNA from 1 species